rnacentral:rRNA from 1 species
UACGUAGGGUGCAAGCGUUGUCCGGAUUUAUUGGGUUUAAAGGGUGCGUAGGCGGCCCGUUAAGUCAGCGGUGAAAUCCCGGGGCUCAACCCCGGAACUGCCGUUGAUACUGGCGGGCUUGAGUUCGGUCGAGGCGGGCGGAACUGGCGGUGUAGCGGUGAAAUGCUUAGAUACCGCCAAGAACCCCGAUUGCGUAGGCAGCUCGCUUGGCCGAAACUGACGCUGAGGCACGAAAGCGUGGGGAGCGAACAGG